GAGGACGGACAGAAGGAAAAAAGUAGUAGUAGCAGUGCCUGAAACACACAGUAACCACACCCGGCCAUUUAUUUCUCUUUAUAGCUGAAGGCAGCGACUCGGAAACAGAUCUCCUUCUUGAGGCCUCGGUGAACACUAUGGAGACCAACUGUGCCUGUGCUUCAGCUCUGAGGUCACAAACCUGACACAAACAUUCCUUAAGCUCUGAGGCAGAUAUUUAUCUUUGGACCCAGUAAGGUGUGAGGUGCCUUGUUCAAGGCCUCAGCCUUAUGUGGUCACCGGCCUGUGGGCUAGCCUUUCGGGAGCAGGCUUACCCAACCACUCACAUGUCCACACCCAUGCGCCCCUGGCACUACCUGUGGGGCCUCCAAGCUCUCCAGCCUUCCCAGUUUGCUCCCACUCACUCUGGUCUUUGCCACCACGGGCUCCCGACCUGAUGCUGAGGAGGUACAGGCUUACAUGUCUAGUGUUCAAAGUUCAGAUUCCAGGCCUCCAGGCAAGCUCACCUGACACUGUAGGCUCCGACACCACCAGUCAGCUUCCCUGGGCUUAGGCCUUUUGGCUCCUCAGCUAAGAGCUCCCUGGUGAGGAGCAGCUCCUGGGAAUUAGGCCUCUUCUGACAAGUGCCUGUUAGAGCUGUUUUUGCUUCUCCUUCUGCUGACCUCUAAGAUCUUGAGCCUUCUUAUUCUUCUGAUUUUGAUUUUCGAGUAAGAUCUUGCUAUAGUCUUGGUUGGCCUUAAACUCGUGACCCUCCAGUGCCAGGAUUACAGGCAUGCCCCACACUCAGCACCACUAUUGCUCUUGCUUGCCUGGCUCUCUUGUCUCUUCUGCCAUUUCUGUUUCUACUGCUUUGAAUCUCUCUCUGUCUCUAUGUCUAUCCAGUGCAGGCUCUGUAUCCAUGCCUAGCAUGUAUAAACUUUUACAAUGGUAAUAAUUUUAUUCAGACUGCUAUAUCUUCAAGACAAGAAACUCUUUCUUUCUCCAUAAGUAGGUGACGAAAUAGUCUUUCUACUUCAAAGAUUAUGCCAUGGUAGCAACCACUGGAUGUGUGCAGUAAGGCCCAACUUCCUGGAACUCAGCCAGUCUUCACUGUAAUAAUUCCUGAAGAAGCCUGAGCAUUGUCUCCAGUGGUGGAUCUUUAUAGCCAAAGGAUUUGUGACAAACCAACACUCAUCUACCAUCCACAACAUCCACAGUCUAUUGUACAUAGGAAGGCCAUGGGGCAUCACAGUUCAGACACACGUGGAGUGCAGUAUGCUUCUCUGAGCACACUGAAGGCAAAUGGAAGGACACUGAAGGGCAGAGUACCAAGCAGAGAAGAAAAGGAAAGAGGAUUGCCCAUUCAGGAACAGAAAGCUAAGUUAAAACAUCGUCCCAGGACGAAUCUCGGUUUUGCAAAAUGCUACAGGACACCCUCAUUAAUUCAAUUUCUAACAAGUAGAAAAUGCUUCUGGGUAUUACAAAAUCCUUUUCAAAUGCCCUCCUUCAUCAAGUCUAGCACUGGAAUAUCACUGGACUAUCCUUAUAUUUAAUGCAUACCUGGAAUAUAUGCAUACUAUUUCUUGCAUACUUGGAAUAUACCAGACACAUUUAUGGAUGAUGUUUGUGAGAUAUCAGUGGCCAACACAGAGAAGAUUCCUCCCUGGUCUACGGCCGGCCCUCGCCUUCUAGGGAGGUGGACAGAUGAGGAAAAGCAAAGAUGACGAUCUCAGACCGUAAGAGCUGCUCUUGAGGCUGGACCACGAGGCAGAACGUUCACGUGAGUGAGCACUCACACAGAGAAGAUGCACAAGCACAAACUGAACCAGGAAAAGGAGCCAGGCACCGGGAAACGGGGAAAUAACACUCAGGCAAAGGACCCAAGGCUGCAAUGGAAAGAAAGAGGAUGGCUUUGCCAGCUUGGGCUAUCUACAGAGCUGAAGUCUGAGACAAAGCCUGACGGGUCUCUGGGGCAGCACGCUGGAUCUUACAAUGUGACUGUACAUAGUGUGGUUUUGUCUGCUGCUGACAUGGCUGCAGGAACUUCCCACCACCAGCUUCAUCGGUGCAUGUCUUUACUACUCUCAUGGCCUUCGUUUAAUAUAUCUUCUGUUGUUUUUUUUUGUUAACAUUUAAUAUUUUAUGUGUUUGUUGCUUACCUUUACAGCAGCAUACAGUGACAUCCUUUGCCUGGGCACUCUCAUCCGUUCCGUCGCUCUGUUCUAGCGUACAUUUUAGGGAAAUGUGCAUUUGUCUUGGUCUGUGCAGUCUAUAUAAAGUGUAAAUCCCCAAGGUAUUCCUAUAGAUUUGUUUUGGAUUGAAAAGGUCUUGGGGACCAGGCAGAUUUGAACACUUAGAUUUUUACCUAAAGAUUCUUUUUCCAUAGCUCCAAGAAACAAAACCAAUGAUCCCCAGGAGCCUUUUAGGAUAUUACUGGCGUUAGAAGCCACAUUGUUGCAAGUUAUAAGGGCAUGCCUAGAAAUGCCAAACCGAAAGGACUCAGAACAUUUCUCUUCUUUAAUAAGCUCCGUUCAUGUUUCCAGAAGUCUAGAAGUUUCCUCCAUGGCUCUCAUUCCAGAAAAAAAAAUAGGUACUUCAAAAUCUUAUUCUUAAGUAAAUAUACCUAAAUAUGGGUAUGUCUGAAAUAGAAUCAGCCCCGUGGUACAGCAGUGCUGUACCUAUCAGCAUGCUCUCUGCAGCUGGGAUAGUGGCAAGCGGCCAGUGUGUUAUCCUCUAAUCCAUUGCUAGUCUACCUUCUGAGUGUUAUAAAUAUUCAUACAUGCCAUAGAAAGCUAUAAAGGGCUUUAUUCAAACAUUUUUUUGAAUACCCCUUUAUGUUUCCCCC
rnacentral:lncRNA from 1 species